AGCCCACCAAGCCAAUGACGCCUAGCUGGUCUGAGAGGAUGAUCAGCCACACUGGAACUGAGACACGGUCCAGACUCCUACGGGAGGCAGCAGCGGGGAAUAUUGCACAAUGGAGGAAACUCUGAUGCAGCAACGCCGCGUGGAGGAUGACGCAUUUCGGUGUGUAAACUCCUUUUAUAUGGGAAGAUAAUGACGGUACCAUAUGAAUAAGCACCGGCUAACUCCGUGCCAGCAGCCGCGGUAAUACGGAGGGUGCAAGCGUUACUCGGAAUCACUGGGCGUAAAGCGCGCGCAGGCGGCCUUUUAAGUUGGAUGUGAAAGCCUACGGCUCAACCGUAGAACUGCAUCCAAAACUAUUGGGCUAGAGUGUGGGAGAGGAAGAUGGAAUUAGUUGUGUAGGGGUAAAAUCCGUAGAGAUAACUAGGAAUACCAAAAGCGAAGGCAAUCUUCUGGAACAUUACUGACGCUGAGGCGCGAAAGCGUGGGGAGCAAACAGGAUUAGAUACCCUGGUAGUCCACGCCCUAAACGAUGAAUGUUAGUCGUCGGGUAGCUAGUCUAUUCGGUGAUGCAGCUAACGCAUUAAACAUUCCGCCUGGGGAGUACGGUCGCAAGAUUAAAACUCAAAGGAAUAGACGGGGACCCGCACAAGUGGUGGAGCAUGUGGUUUAAUUCGAAGAUACGCGAAGAACCUUACCUAGCCUUGACAUAUAUUAGAACACUUUAGAGAUAGAGUGGUGCCUUCGGGAGCUUUUAUACAGGUGCUGCACGGCUGUCGUCAGCUCGUGUCGUGAGAUGUUGGGUUAAGUCCCGCAACGAGCGCAACCCUCGUCACUAGUUACUAACGGUUCGGCCGAGGACUCUAGUGAGACUGCCUUCGUAAGGAGGAGGAAGGUGAGGACGACGUCAAGUCAUCAUGGCCCUUACGGCUAGGGCAACACACGUGCUACAAUGGCCAGGACAAUGAGACGCGAUACCGCGAGGUGGAGCAAAUCUAUAAACCUGGUCUCAGUUCGGAUUGUAGUCUGCAACUCGACUACAUGAAGCUGGAAUCACUAGUAAUCGUAGAUCAGCUAUGCUACGGUGAAUACGUUCCCGGGUCUUGUACUCACCGCCCGUCACACCAUGGGAGUUGAUUUCACCCGAAGCGGGGAAGCUAAACUGGCUACCCUCCACGGUGGAAUCAGCGACUGGGGUGAAGUCGUAACAAGGUA
rnacentral:rRNA from 1 species